CUUCGGGGACAUUGGUGACAGGUGGUGCAUGGUUGUCGUCAGCUCGUGUCGUGAGAUGUUGGGUUAAGUCCCGCAACGAGCGCAACCCUUGUCUUUAGUUGCCAUCAUUAAGUUGGGCACUCUAGAGAGACUGCCAGGGAUAACCUGGAGGAAGGUGGGGAUGACGUCAAAUCAUCAUGCCCCUUAUGCUUAGGGCUACACACGUGCUACAAUGGGUAGUACAGAGGGUUGCCAAGCCGUAAGGUGGAGCUAAUC
rnacentral:rRNA from 1 species